rnacentral:rRNA from 1 species
AGAGUUUGAUCCUGGCUCAGGACGAACGCUGGCGGCGUGCCUAAUACAUGCAAGUCGAGCGGAUUGCACCUUCGGGUGCAGUUAGCGGCGGACGGGUGAGUAACACGUAGGCAACCUGCCUGUAGGAUCGGGAUAACUACCGGAAACGGUAGCUAAGACCGGAUACCUGCCCUUGGCGCAUGCCUGGGGCAAGAAACGCGGAGCAAUCUGUGGCCUAUAGAUGGGCCUGCGGCGCAUUAGCUAGUUGGUGGGGUAACGGCCCACCAAGGCGACGAUGCGUAGCCGACCUGAGAGGGUGACCGGCCACACUGGGACUGAGACACGGCCCAGACUCCUACGGGAGGCAGCAGUAGGGAAUCUUCCGCAAUGGACGCAAGUCUGACGGAGCAACGCCGCGUGAGUGAUGAAGGUUUUCGGAUCGUAAAGCUCUGUUGCCAGGGACGAAAAGCACCGAGAGUAACUGUUCGGUGUGUGACGGUACCUGAGAAGAAAGCCCCGGCUAACUACGUGCCAGCAGCCGCGGUAAUACGUAGGGGGCAAGCGUUGUCCGGAAUUAUUGGGCGUAAAGCGCGCGCAGGCGGCCAUUUAAGUUUGGUGUAUAAUCCCGGGGCUCAACCCCGGGCCGCACCGAAAACUGGGUGGCUUGAGUGCGGGAGAGGAAAGUGGAAUUCCACGUGUAGCGGUGAAAUGCGUAGAUAUGUGGAGGAACACCAGUGGCGAAGGCGACUUUCUGGACCGUAACUGACGCUGAGGCGCGAAAGCGUGGGGAGCAAACAGGAUUAGAUACCCCAGUAGUCC